rnacentral:rRNA from 1 species
AUGAUUGUGUAUGAUAGAAGAGAUACGAAGAGCGGCCCCUCUGUUGUGUUAACUCGCAACCUCGUAGCUGUCCCUGACCCGGAUGAUGAUGAAGGAGAUGAAAUUGGUGUCUAUGUUCGCUUCCUUGAUGAUGACGACGAGGUCGAUGAUGAGGAUGCAGGCACCUUGGUCAAGCUAGCAUACCCUGCUGAAGAGCAAGUUUGCUGUCACGGCGCCUGGGAGCUGCAAGUGAUGGUUUCGUGGACUGCCAUCCUGUGCAAACCAAUGGCAAAACAUGUCUUAACAAGAGGGACUAGUAUGCCCAGAGCUUAUACUUGCCCUAAGUACGCACCUCUGUUCUGA